rnacentral:rRNA from 1 species
UGCAAGUCGAGCGCGCCCUUCGGGGUGAGCGGCGGACGGGUUAGUAACGCGUGGGAACGUACCCUUUGGUAGGGAAUAGCCACUGGAAACGGUGAGUAAUACCCUAUGAGCCCUUCGGGGGAAAGAUUUAUCGCCAAAGGAUCGGCCCGCGUUAGAUUAGGUAGUUGGUGGGGUAAUGGCCUACCAAGCCUACGAUCUAUAGCUGGUUUUAGAGGAUGAUCAGCAACACUGGGACUGAGACACGGCCCAGACUCCUACGGGAGGCAGCAGUGGGGAAUCUUGGACAAUGGGGGCAACCCUGAUCCAGCCAUGCCGCGUGAGUGAAGAAGGCCUUAGGGUCGUAAAGCUCUUUCGCCUGUGAAGAUAAUGACGGUAGCAGGUAAAGAAACCCCGGCUAACUCCGUGCCAGCAGCCGCGGUAAUACGGAGGGGGUUAGCGUUGUUCGGAAUUACUGGGACGUAAAG